rnacentral:tRNA from 1 species
CGCGGGGUGGAGCAGCCCGGUAGCUCGUCGGGCUCAUAACCCGAAGGUCGUCAGUUCAAAUCUGGCCCCCCGCAACCA